rnacentral:lncRNA from 1 species
AAAAGAAGAAGAAGAAAAAGAGAAGGAAAAAGAGAGGAAGAAAAGGAAGGAGAAGAAGGCGAAGAAGGUUUUGAAGUCCUUCUUCAUCUCGUUUUUGGCCUAGGGCUUGCUUUGGAGCAAACCCUAGAGGUAAGCCUCAACCCCUUUCAUGGUAACUUGUGAUUUCUAGGGUUUGGAUGGUUUUUGUUGCUUUUGAUGGUUCAAAUGGAACCUAAUGAGCUUAGAGAACAUGGAUUUAGCUCACAUUGAAGCUAUAAUCCAUAACCUCUCAUGGAUCCCAACCCUAGGGUUAGAUUUUGGGGAUUUUAAAAAUGUGAGGGAUUGAACUCUUUUGAGGGGUUAGAAACCUAAUUCUUAUGCUUAUAAACGCGUAGGCGAAGACGGUUCGUCGAUCCGACGAGUGGGCGCGAAGAUAUCGCUAUUCGAUGCGCUAAAGGGUUAAAGUUAACCCAACGAAAAUUAAGCGGCGACAAGACUAGCACGAGAACGCGUCUCGGAGUGUUUGCGGCAUCACCCAAGGUGGGGGAGUGCCAUCCCGAAGUCAUCGGGCCACCUUCUAUGUCUAAGUUUUAAUUGAUCUAUUUGCAUAUUGUGCAUAAUACAUAUAGGGUUAGAAAAUGAUUAUUGUUGCUUAUACUUGCAUACUAUUAGUUCAAUAAAUAUAUAUAUUGCUUGGUUGGUUUAUGAUCUAGUAUGCAUGAUGGUUGCUUGAUGAAAAUCUAGACCCUAUAUGAGAUGAUUAAUGCUUAUGUUGCUAAAGAACUAGUAUGAUGAAACUAGUGUUGAUAAUGAGUCAAAUUGACGAGUGGCAUCUAGUUUAGAAAACUAUGACAAGUGGCAUCUAGUUAGAAAAACUAUGAUGAAUGACAUUGUUGAUGUUUCCUUGAGAUGAUCACAUUAGUGUAGUUGAGACACUAUGAGAUUGGGUACAAGUAUACAUUGAUUCCAUGAUGAUAUUACCCUAAAAAAGGGUUGUUGCUGUUGCU